AUACGUAGGGGGCGAGCGUUGUCCGGAAUGAUUGGGCGUAAAGGGCGCGUAGGCGGCGCGGUAAGUCUGGAGUGAAAGUCCUGCUUUCAAGGUGGGAAUUGCUUUGGAUACUGCCGCGCUUGAGUGCAGGAGAGGUUAUCGGAAUUCCCGGUGUAGCGGUGAAAUGCGUAGAGAUCGGGAGGAACACCAGUGGCGAAGGCGGGUAACUGGACUGCAACUGACGCUGAGGCGCGAAAGUGUGGGGAGCAAACAGGAUUAGGUACCCUGGUAGUCCACACUGUAAACGAUGAAUGCUAGGUGUAAGAGGUAUCGACCCCUUUUGUGCCGGAGUCAACACAAUAAGCAUUCCGCCUGGGGAGUACGGCCGCAAGGUUGAAACUCAAAUGAAUUGACGGGG
rnacentral:rRNA from 1 species